GUGCAUUCAUUGUGGAGUUGGUGCUAAGUCCACACCACAUAUGCGUCGCGGCCCAGAGGGGCCGAGGACUCUAUGCAAUGCAUGUGGUCUUGCAUGGAGAAAGAAGACGCUAAAAAAAGUGACCUACCUUGAUGCUUCUGGGGAAGGUACUUUUGGUGCAGAAAUGGUGCCAAAACUUGGUAUGGAGUUUGAAAAUGAGAACAGGGCAUACGAGUUCUACAACAACUAUGCUGGAAUGGCAGGUUUUAGCGUGAGGAAAGGCUGGUUGGACAAGAGAGUUUCUGAUAAAACUACAAGAUCAAGGACAUUGGUGUGCUCCAGGGAAGGUUUUCGCCAGGAGAGGAAAGCAGGAAAUGAAGCAAAGCGUCCACGACCAGAAACAAGAAUUGGUUGCCUUGCACGUAUGAAAAUUAAACUUAUGCCAAGUGGAUGGUAUCGUAUUACCAAAUUCAUAGCAGAACACAACCAUCAACUUGCUCCUCCUUCAUCAAAACACUUGUUGAGAUCACAGAGAAUCACAUCUGAGUUUCAAUCCGCUGAUGCAGAUUUAUCAGAUGAUGCAGUAGCUGCUCUAAGAUCUUCUGGUGAGUCCACUGGCACUAGACAAGAUAUUUAUCUCCUACCAUCAGAUUAUAAAGCUUGUCUCCGCUCAAAAAGAAUGAAGUCCAUGCAGUCUGGUGAUGCAGAGGCUCUUCUGAUGUAUCUCCAAAGUAUGCAACUGCAGAAUACUGCAUUUUUCUAUGCCAUUCAACUCGAUGAUGAUGACAAGCUUACAAACAUUUUCUGGGCUGAUUCAAAGUCACUAGAGGAUUUCAGCUACUUUGGUGAUGUAGUUUGUUUGGACACCACAUAUAAAUUUAAUGUACACUGUAGACCAUUCGUAUCCUUUGUUGGUGUGAAUCAUCAUAAGCAAAUUACUCUCUUUGGGGCAGCAUUUCUCUAUGAUGACUCAGUAGAAUCUUUUAAAUGGUUAUUUAAUACUUUUGGGAUUGCAAUGCGUGGGAAACUGCCAAAGACUAUUUUGACAGAUGAAUCGGUUGCAAUAGGUGGUGCAUUGACUAUGGUGUGGCCAGAAACAAUGCAUCGGCUUUGUGUCUGGCAAAUUUAUCACAGUUCCAUGAAACAUCUUAACCAUGUUUUCCAAAGUUCUAAAACAUUUGCAAAGGAUUUUAGCAGAUGCAUCUACAACUCUGAAGAUGAGGAUCAGUUUUUGCUAGGAUGGAGAUCACUUCUGGAAAAGUAUGAUCUUAGAAGCAAUGAGUGGAUUUCGAAAUUAUUUGAGUGCAGAGAGAGUUGGGCUUUGCCAUAUGGUCGGCAUACAUUUUGUGCUGAUAUAAAUAGCACACUUCAAAGCGAAAGCUUCAGUAGCGAGCUAAAAAAGUAUCUAACUCCACAGCAUGAUCUCCUUUUCUUCUUCAGAAACUAUGAAAAGGUGGUAUCUGAGUGUCGUUAUGCAGAACUUCAGGCUGAUUUCCAUGCAAGCCAAUCCUUUCCAAGAAUACCUCCUUCAAAGAUGUUGAGACAAGCAGCCAGCAUGUAUACACCGGCAGUAUUUGAAAUGUUCAGGAAAGAGUUCGAUGUAUUCAUGGAUUGUAUGUUAUAUAAUUCUGCAGAGUAUGGAACAAUUACAGAAUACAGGAUUACAGUGGGUGAGAAUCCAAAGGAAUAUUAUGUUCGUUUAGACUCGACUGAUUUAUCGGUUGCUUGCAGUUGCAAGAAGUUUGAGUUCAUCGGGAUUCAUUGCGGCCAUGUUAUAAAAGUACUUGAUGUCAGAAACAUAAAGGAGUUACCGGAGCGUUAUUACUUAAAGAGGUGGAAAAGAGAAGCAAAGCUUAAAUGUGAAAUGGAACCAAAGUCUCCUACAGUAUCUUUGGUAUCAGGGCAGGUUCCUUCAGUCGCCCAUCAAGGAUGUCAACUGGGUCAGGCUACAGGUUGAGCUGCAUCAAAAGCCUUUAAAUCAUAGUUCUCUAUUAGAUCUGGUGAGGUUGUUUUGGAAACAUUGUGCAUUGAACUGCUACCAGCCUUAUGAUUUGUCAUGGUUAGCAUAUUUGGUAUCACAUCUAGACAAUAUUAUUCUGAAUCAUUUUGCAGAGCUUCUCGGUUUCUGCAUGAAACUGAUCCCCUUCAAGGACUUGGGAGACAGCUUCAAGUCUCUGGUUCCCAUUUCUUAUAUAUGGAAUAUCGACUUCUAUGACGCCUUUUCAAUUUUUUUUUGUUGAAAGCAGCCCCCAAGAUUAAUAAUAAUUGAAUUCUGUUUCUUGUCUGCAUUAUUAUUUUUUUUCUUUUUUUUCCUCAUUUCAAAACUGUAUGUUUAACAAAUGCUAGUUUGGUUGCUAGCAAGUUCGAAUCACCUAAAGGAAGGCUUGUGCAUUGAACUGUUUCCAGCCUUAUGAUUUGUCUUUACAUGUUUGAUGUCAUAUGUAGACUAUCACUCUUAAUCUUUUUGCAGAGCUUCUUGGUUUCUGCAUAAAAUUGAUCCCCUUCAAGACUAGGACAAGUUUUUUCAUGAGGAUCAGUUUUAUGCUGAAACCGUGCAGCUCUGCAAAUAAUAAACAACUCAAUUAGCAAAACCUUCAUCAUAAUUAACCAACCAAACUACAUAAAAAUUCUUGUCUCCAAGCCCAUCAAAGGGAUCAGUUUUAUGCCGAAACCGAGAUGGUCUGCAAAAAAAUAAACCACUCAAUUAUAAUAAGUGAAAUCAAGCCUUCAAGUCUCAACCAUAUUAUUU